UCUUCCUGGCUCCAAGGCUACCAUUAUACCACACUUCUUAUGAGGAAACACAAAUAUUAUGUGACCACUGCCCGUUGGGAACUUACUCUCUAGGAAAAAAUUGACAAAUAACUACAUAGAAAAAUGAUAGAGUGGCUAGGAUUGGCAGAGGUCUGAGAUCUCCACUGGGACUUCAAAACCUGAGGCUGGCAGCACCUGUGGGUUCCCAUGAGCUUCACAGAAUACCGAGUGGGUCUGUCUGGCAGAUAGAAGUCUGAAUAUGCAAAAGCCUAUAUGCUGUAGACCCCCAAAUCAGUCAAUGAAUAUCUGGGGAAAGCAUUGACUGAGUUAUGACCUCGUGAGUGUCAAAAGAUAAGAAGAGACAUCAGAGGUUCCCUCAGCAAGUGGAAUCAAUGGCAAAUGCCAGUAGAACCAAGACCAGAAGUAGUCAAAUCCAGCGAGAGUCAGUAUCAGCAGCCGAGUGACCUGCUUGACUUAGCCAAGCAAUGGAUCGACUCAAUUGUCAAGAGCCUCAUCAUGCAAAGAACCAGCUCAGUGGAGCAACA